GUAUCUAUAGCUCAGCAGGAUAGAGCAAUGGCCUUCUAAGCCAUGUGUCCGGGGUUCGAAUCCCUGUAGGUACGCCA
rnacentral:tRNA from 2 species